CGUUUCCGUAGGUGAACCUGCGGAAGGAUCAUUGAAUUAUAAAAACCACAAUGUGAACCCUGUCGUCCCGUGUCUUUGCCGCCAGCAAGGCGAUUCGCGUAAGCCAAUCGUGCUUGCAACUGGGGCGGGCAUUGCUGCCCGCACCAGUGGCGCUCUGGCAUGUUUAUACACCAGUGCCAACCACUGUCAAAUCCAAACACUGAAGUUGUGAUUGCUAGUAGCUGGCAAUCUUAACCAAGAACAACUCUCAACAACGGAUAUCUUGGCUCUCGCAACGAUGAAGAACGCAGCGAAAUGCGAUACGUAGUGUGAAUUGCAGAAUUCCGUGAACCAUCGAAUCUUUGAACGCAUAUUGCGCUCGAGCCCUCGGGCAAGAGCAUGUCUGCCUCAGCGUCGGUUUCAUCCUCACUCCGCCCUCCUUGUGGGGGUGGGUUGGCAUCUGAGCCGCCCAUCGGAGUGGAGCUGGCUUUCCCAAUCCUACUUGGAUUGGGUCUGCUGAAGCACAGAGGCUUAAUCGAGGACCCUUUUGGGCUUCAACUGGAUAGGUAGAGCAGGCUUUCAGCCGACUACACGAAGUUGCGGCUUGUGGACCUUGAUAGGAGCCAAGCAGGAAACAUGCGAACGCAUGCUUACCCUUUCGACCUGAGCUCAGGCAAGGCUACCCGCUGAACUUAAGCAUAUG
rnacentral:rRNA from 1 species